CGUCAUUCUUGUAAGAAGCUCAUUAGCAGCGUAGGUUGGUCGUAAAUACUGUAACAUAGAAAGGGCAGCAACAACGUGUAGAAAAAGAGGGCACUUUAAAGUUAAUGCAUCGAAGAAGGUACUAGAAAUCUAUAAGACCUAACUUGCUUAGAAAACCUAAAUUUGCUCGAGCUGUUCUGUCAUUUAGAGAGGACAAUUUACUGUAGGUAAUCAAGAACAGGUGUAGUUGAUCUAUUUUCAACACAAAUCCAACAAAGGACAAAACUUUAUGCUGCACUCACUCCACGGCAUAAGCAGUGAUAUGCGGAUGAUUCGAAAACAUAGACCGAACAAAAAGGAGCGAACAAGGCACAGUAUACGAUUUGAUUGAUGCAACUAAUUUAAACUGAGAACAAACAUGUUUUACAAAACCAAGAAUUUUUAAUAGUAUUAUUAAUUUAUAGUAGUCAUAUCAGUCAGAAAUUAAUUUGAGGAGGGGUUAUCAAAAAAAGCUUUUGGGUUUUAGUUAAUACAUAGAUCAAAUAUAUUCAUAAAUACUCACGUGUAAAUUUCGGGGGCUUAACCCCCAAAACCCUUCCCUAUAUACGCCACUCAGUCACUUACUAACUGUUUUUUAAUAUUAAUCAUUUAUAAUUUUUCCUUACUCCACAUACAUAUUUUAUAUUAUUAGUAAUGACUAAGAAACUCU